CGAGCACGCGCGUGUGGCAUAUCAAUAAGCGGAGGAAAAGAAACUAACUAGGAUUCCCUUAGUAACGGCGAGUGAAGCGGGAAGAGCUCAAAUUUGAAAUCUUCAAGGUUCUACCUUGACGAAUUGUAGUUUAUAGAAGUGUUUUCUGUAGUGGAGUUUGGUAAAAGGUUCUUUGGAAUAGGACAUCAUAGAGGGUGAGAAUCCCGUAUUUGGACCAUUAUUUCCUAGCUGUGUGAUGACACUUUCAAAGAGUCGGAUUGUUUGGGAAUGCAGUCCAAAAUGGGUGGUAAAUUUCAUCUAAAGCUAAAUAUUGGCGAGAGACCGAUAGCGAACAAGUACCGUGAGGGAAAGAUGAAAAGAACUUUGAAAAGAGAGUUAAACAGUACGUGAAAUUGUCAAAAGGGAAGCGUUUGACACCAGUGUUGUUCUUCCGAAAAUCAAUUAAAAAUUGAUUCAUGCUAAGUUGUAUUGACUUCAUCGGCUUUCUGCUUAGUUUUGGGUCUCUUUUUGAUGCACUUUUCGGUUAACAAGUCAACAUCAAUUUCUUUUGUUGUAAAAGGGUAUGAGGAAGGUGGCUUUCUUCUCGGAGAAAGUGUUUAUAGCCUUGUGCCUCUGCAAUCGGAGAGAUUGAGGUCUGCAGCGUAGAUCCUUCGGGGUUAGAUACGUUUGUGCUAAGUUAUAGCUUUUCAUAGACAACUUGUUGACUACGUUUAGUCUUGUAGCUUACUCGCUGACGCUAUUUUACCUACGCUUAGGAUGUUGAAGAUGUAGCACAUCAUACACGCAUGACACACUGCAUAUCAAUAAGCGGAGGAAAAGCAUAACAUGUAUACCUACGCUUAGGAUGUUGAAGAUGUAGCACAUCAU
rnacentral:rRNA from 1 species